AAAGUCGUAACAAGGUCUCCGUUGGUGAACCAGCGGAGGGAUCAUUACUGAGUUUUACAACUCCCAACCCUAUGUGAACUUAUCAUGUUGCUUCGGCGCUGCGUCCCGGCCCCUAGAGGCUGGACACAGGCGCUCGCCGAGGGCCUAAAACUCUUGUUUUAUUAGAGCAGUCUGAGUGGCAUUAUGCAAACAAAUGAAUCAAAACUUUCAACAACGGAUCUCUUGGUUCUG
rnacentral:misc_RNA from 1 species